rnacentral:rRNA from 1 species
GACAGAGGUGCCAAGCGUUAGGCGGAAUCACUGGGCUUAAAGCGUGUGUAGGCGGAAUUGUAAGUACCUUGUGAAAUCCCACAGCUCAACUGUGGAACUGCUCGGUAUACUGCUUUUCUUGAGCCACUUAGGGGCUGUCGGGAACAAACGGUGGAGCGGUGAAAUGCGUAGAUAUCGGAAGGAACACCGGUGGCGAAAGCGGCGCGCUGGACCCCUUCUGACGCUGAGGCGCGAAAGCCAGGGGAGCAAACG